rnacentral:misc_RNA from 1 species
UACGGAGGGUGCGAGCGUUGUUCGGAAUUAUUGGGCGUAAAGCGGGUGCAGGCGGUAAAGUAUGUCUGAUGUGAAAGCCCGGGGCUUAACCCCGGAAGUGCAUUGGAAACUGCUUUACUUGAGUCUUGGAGAGGGUAGCGGAAUUCCUGGUGUAGAGGUGAAAUUCGUAGAUAUCAGGAGGAACACCGGUGGCGAAGGCGGCUACCUGGACAAUGACUGACGCUGAGACCCGAAAGCGUGGGGAGCAAACAGG